UGGAGGACUAACCAGGAUUUCUAGUAACGGCGAGUGACGGAAAUUAGCCCAGCACCGAAGCCUAUCUACAUUUGUGGACAAGGUAAUGUGGUGUUAAGGUUUCAACCUGGGUGUACUAGUCUACUCGAAGUCCAACUCCGAUUACGGCUUUGGAUCUAUGCCUUAGCGGGUGAAAGACCCGUACGGGUAGACAUUGUUGUUUUUAGUACAUCCUAAAUGUUGUUACUUUAAAGUCGGAUUGCUUGAGAAUGCAGUCCAAAGACGGGUGGUAAACUCCAUCCAAGGCUAAAUACUGGCACGAGUCCGAUAGUAAACAAGUACCGUGAGGGAAAGUUGAAAAGUACUCUGAAGAGAGAGUAAAUAGUACGUGAAGCUGCCUGCAUGGAAGCUGGUGGAGUCAAGCUUCUUAGGCUUGGAAUUGGUGCGGAGACCAUUUUAUUGUUUAUGGGCAAAGAGUGUAUUGGCUUUAAAUGGCUUAAUAGGUUUUCCUAUUUGAGGCGUUCAGGGUUAUACGCUAUUGUGCAUUCUAAAUCUUGCCCGUUCUCUUGUACUAUUUCCUUGCCUUAACACCAUGGUUGAUGUGCAUAUAUUGUUUGAUAAUCUAACCAUGGCCGUUGUAUAUCUCGGUUUACUGGCCAUGGAAUGGCAGGUAUAAAUAUGUGAAUUUCGGUUUACAUAUUUCUUAUAUUGGGUAUUAAAACCUUGCUGAUUAUCUUUUGUAUUAUAUAAUUAGUAAGGGCGCAUUAUUCCUUAUAUCAUAUAGUACCGAAAGUGUUGCUUUGAUGAGAGC
rnacentral:rRNA from 1 species